rnacentral:lncRNA from 1 species
CAAUCACAUGAUCUCAACCUAACUGCAAGGGAUGCUGGGCAAUGUAGUCCAGUCAUGUGGCUAGCAGGAAAAUGCAGGGGGCUUGGUGAAAAUUUGCUCUAGGUCCCAGACUUGGCAAAUGAUACAAGAUUUAACUCACACAGUCCGGCUUCCAAGCCCACACUCUUAACCACUGUACUCUCAGUCAGGGAUUGAGUGGGCAAGCACUGUGGGCUGCAGACACCAAGCUCCACCAUGAUUCCCCCUCCACUCUCAGAGGCUCCAUCCAGCUGGCAGGCUCACAGCACUGCAGCCCAGCAUCUGAAGUGGUACUGUCCCUAGGCUGAUGACUGUCACAUUUUUAGUGGGGCCAAAACUUUCCUCCAAGAUUCAGAUGUGUGUCACCAACUAGAGAGCAGGCUUGGAAUUUAAAAAUAAAGUUUUCAAUUCUUAAUACUUGAAUUAAAAGGAGAAUGGUCAUUAAACAGAAACUGCUGCUAAAAGUGACAAGCAACUUAGCAAUACACAUUAGGAGCAAAGAUUAUAAUUUAUGCAGCAUAUUUUCAUAUACAGGCAAAUCUGAGAUAGAAGGAAAAACAAAUGGCUUGGAAUAAAACAAAAUCCUUAAAAUGUGUAAGUCUCUGACCUCAGAUAGAACUUCAGUAUGAACCAGCUGCAGAACAGCAUCUUGGGGCCAGUGGGUUGGGGAGGUUUACUGUUGAUUUGCUAUUAUUCUGUGAGUUGGGUUGUAUUCACACU